CUGGCCGAUCCAAAACCGGGGUGUGCCAACACCAGGAUGUGUCAGGUUUUUUUUUCGAGUAAAACUCCUUUUUGGUUUUUACUCAUGAUAUAGCAAGAAAAGGGAUAAUCAUUUAUGUAUUUGGCGUAUAAACCUAUUUUUUAUUCGUUUGAUAAAUGUGUAGAAAUGGCAAUACUUAUUAUUUGACAACACGGAACACUUAUUGUUAUUGUGCGUGUAAUAAUAUUUAUGUAAAAUAUAAAAUGCUUAUUUUAAGCAAAUAUCUAAAACAGAGAUAAAGAGAUAUCCAACUCCUCUCUCACUGGAAGUGAGAGAGCAAUUGCUAAACGUCAAAACCACCUAAACUUUGACAGUUGAUCGAGUUCAGGAGGUUUUGACCGUUUAGCAAAUGGAAAAGAGGGACGAUUAAAAUCCCGCCAAAUUAUUAUUCGAAUGUUGACAUUUUUCACUUUUUUGUCUCCAUUUGUAACGGCCAUUAGUUCGAAGAAUAGCGAAAGUGAAACAGCACGUAAGUUGAAAGAUAUAAAAUGCCGAAAACAACCAGCAGUUGGAGAAAAUGUGUUGUUGGCUGCAACGAGGGAGGAAGAACAUUUAGUUUUCCAAACAAUGGAACGGACCUCGAACGCUAAAUUUAUUAAUUUAAAAAUCACUUAGCACACUUACCGUUGAAAAGAUUUAUUCCCCCGCCGGGGGAAGCAGAGGAAGAGGAAGACCUCCACUCCGUUGGACGGACCAAGUGGAGAAGGACCUGGCUUCGCUUGGAAUAUCCAAUUGGCGCCACGUAGCGAAAAGAAGAAACGACUGGCGCGCUGUUGUUAACUCGGCUAUAAUCGCUUAAGCUGUUUCUACGCCAAUUAAGAAGAAGAAGAAGAUUUAUUUCUUAUAAAACCUGCAAAAUGUGCAAAUUGUGAAUUUGUUUAAAUGUUUACAGUUUAAUUAAAUGAAUUUGAAGUGAAAAAUGUGCAUAAAUUGUGUUAAAUGUAGUAAAAUAGCCUGUUGAAAUUUUCGAAUUUUGGGAAUUUUUUAACUUUAAAAUCGAAUAUCUCGUAAACUAAGCGUUUCGCUACCAUUAACUCUAUAUAUUUUUUGAUCAGGAGGACUUUCAGAUCGCGGCUUCAAAGAAAUCGGAAUUGUGCCUUUCUCAGAAAGAGAUGUAAGUUAAAUUAAAUCUUACUGACUGUGAAUUUGUAGUUGUUACGUUAAAGAAAAUCAAUAAACACAAGUUUUUUGUCUUUACCCCAUGUGCUACCGGCUAGCGACUUGAGGAUUUUAUUGCGGCUCUGUACCUUGGCGAUAAUCGCGGUCGUAUGGGGAGUGAAGGAGCAUAGACUAUCAAAGGUUACACCCAGUUACACCUAGUUCAAGUCUAUACUCCUUCGUCUAGUUCGUAAAAAUGGUCGCUGUGGAUUUGGUGGGGAAAGUGUGAGGUUCCGUGCAGUGAAGAAACGAGAAAGGUCGAAGAGGUAGUUGUUUACUUUCGAACACAUGGCAUCGAUUCCAUUGCCCGACGUCAAUAUCAUGCAAUCAUUUGCGUAUAAGGUUAUGGAAACCCCCUCUGGUUGCUUCGGGAGUUUCGAGAUGUAGAAGUUAAACAGUAACGGGCGGAACCCCCUGUUUAAUUCUUCUCAGUUUAGAUGAUUCACCUCGAAAUAGUACGGAUGAUUGACGACCGUUCAGGUAGUUCAUGGUCCCCCUCUUUAGUCUUACAGGAAGCGAAGUUUUCUCAAUGUUCUGCAGUAGCGUUGUGUGGUUGACUGUGUCAAAAGCUUUUGACAAGUCCAACGCUACGAGGAUCGUUCUCUCAGGGUGGUUUCUGGUUGAGGCCACGAACUAUCUGAGCGUUUAUGACGCUAAGUGCUGUGGUGGUGCUGUGCACUUUUCGGAAUCUAUGCCGGUGGCUGGCUAGGCUCAGGUGGUGAGUGAAGGUCGGGAAUAGCAAGGCCUCAAGUGUCUUCACUACUGGGGAGAGGAGAGUUAUCGGACGAUAAGAUUCCCCUUUGUUGGCGGGUUUCCCAGGUAUCAGUAGUCGGACCACUCUUCCGACAUUCCACACUCCGGGUAUUUGAAGAGUGAUCAGCGACAGAUUGAGGACCUUGGUGAGAUAGCUUACUCCCUACGAGCCUAGAUGCUUUAGCAUUAGUAUGUUAAUUCCAUCAGGGCCAAUGGAUUUAGAGGAUUUUUAUUUGACAUUCUGGCUAUUGUCCCAGUAUAGCGUAGGCAACAUGGGGCCACGUAACUUGUGGUCCACUCCAUGUGAGUCUUAAGGCCUGAGCAGGUCUUAAGAUAGCUCCAUCCAUUGCAUGUAUUACACCUGACCGAGGUGGAGUUUGGAUGGAGCCUUUUUACGCAAACGCAGCAGAAAAAUUCCUCCGGGGUCACAAUAUAUGUGGAACUGUCAAAACUGUUGCAAAUUUUCAAUAAACUAACAAAAGCUAAUUAAAUAUCAAAAUGGAUCCGACUUUGUUUUUUUAUUUGAGCUCUAGCAAAUGUGAUGGGGAUGAGAAAUAGUGCGGGGAUAGCUAAGAGAUCGUAGCAAUAGCGCAGGUAUAAAAAAAAUUAGAAAACCUCAUUAACAAAAUUUUCUUUCUUUUUUCAAAGCAUUGGAAUCUUAAAAAGACGGUGGAGAAUUUUAGGAUAUGACAAGAGAGGAAGGUAUCAGCCCACAAAAGUGUCAAGAUUUGCCAACGUUUGUGCGGAAUUACAUAACAUCUGCAUAAAAUUUAAAAUAAGUUAUAAGUUAUAACAAAAUUGCGAUUCUGAUUACUCACAAAAAAUAGACACCGGGGUAGCAAACCGCCUCACCGCAAUCGGCCAAACGAUAAGAGACCAAAUAAAGUAUUAUUUUUUAAAUUUAAACUGAAAAUGUAUAUGUCUUUAACCUUGUAAAUAUGUUUUUUAA